rnacentral:lncRNA from 1 species
AUGUUGUCCCACUUGACAUCCUUUCUCUUUCGCUAGAAACCUCAAUUGGAAAGGUAUACCACAAGUUCACUUUGCUUCUGCACCAAGAAUAGUAUAGAGCUUCAUAAGUAACAAUCACAAUUCACAAAUGAAGUAAGAAAAUGGGUCAUAAAUUUGACAUCAGAAGUAAACAGAUAACAAGUUCUAAAGAUUUGAUAAAUCAGUAGGCUAUGCAGGUGAAGUCUUUUGGCAGCACACACCAGAUGCUCCAUAUUGAUAAUAAGUAUAUCCUUAAGUUAAAGGAAGAAAAAUGGUAAAUCUGAGAGUGAGAGAGAUAGGAAUAGCAAUUAGCAAACUUCAACUAUUUAGAGACAAGCAAAGGGACCAACAUAAAAUCAAAACAUUCUUUUAACCCCCAACUUUAGUCUUGUCACCAGAUCAGGUAGUUAAGUUUCAUAAUAUUAUUCAGGAUUUGAGGAGAUAAAAGGUGGGUUGAAUGGUUAAGAGAGAAGGAAAGGAGAGAAAGGUAGAGAGUUCGAUCCACUUGCUAACAAAACUAGCAUUUGCCCCUAAAAAAAUUAUUCUGGACCUGAAGAAUUGCUUUCUGACAGAGAAUGACAUAAAAUUUGACUCGCAAAGAAAAUAAUAUGAACAAGAAAUGCAAAUAAAAGAUUCCCCCCUCCCUGCCCUUUCAAUUAAAGUAAAACUAGUAGCAAAGCCUUUGAUCGGUUUUCAAGCAGAUAACAACAUAUUUCAAAUUAGAAAAGAAGGAAAUUAUUAAUGAAAUCUUAGAAUGAACGCAAGAAGUCAGAGCUGAGAGCAUUUAGUCAUUAGUCAACUAUAUAGUCAACUAUCUCUUGUAAUCAAAUCAUUGAGGAAUUACAACAAAUUUUACAAAAAUUACCUAAAAUCCUAAACAAUUUUAGAAUCACUGAAUUAACCGGCUAAAAUAGAUGCAAGAUAUCCAUCUCAAAUUGCCCAAAAAAAAUUUCAAAUGAAUUUUGGAUUACUUUUUUUUUUUUUCAUUAUCAGAAAAGAGGAAUACUUCCUUACAUAAUCCAAACCAAAAACAGUUCAAUUCCAGAAAUUCCAAAGAGAAACAAAGCUCUAUAACUUUACACAUACAAAUUGAAAUGAUAUCAAUUUUUGCCCUCAACUAAAAAGAAAAGUUCAAUUACCACAGAUGAAUUAAGGAGAAACAAAAUUCAUAGAAGAACCAGGUAUCUGCAACCACAGAAACAGAACCUGUCCUCAACCACAGCCACAGAGCCAGAAACAGAAAAAAUGAAAGCAACACAGAAAAUCCAAACUGAAGACUAAAAUCCCACAAAAAUCACUCCAUCUUGCAUCAAAGCACAACUUUCAAAUGGGGUCUCAGUUAAAAAAAAAAUAGCCAUUAUUCCAAAGAUCAUAGAGUUCACACCCACAUAGAAUUCAUUGAGUAAAUGUAAAAAAAUAAAAAUAAAAAACGAAAAAAUUAAGAGAAGGAAGAAUUCAAGGAGAGGGAGAAAUAUUCAGAAUUGAUCAGAGUGACCUUACCAAAGAAAAAGGAGAGAAAACAAAAGAGGAAACUAAAAUAAUGAACGAAAAUCCAGAGAACAGUUGCAAAAAGAUUCUGAGCCUGCUGGAGACAGAAAGUAGAAGAGAACUUUGUUUCUCUCUACAAAUACACAAUUGAUUUGAUGGAGUGUUCACACUAAGUUUCAGGGAACUUUCUUUUGUAAUUUUCAUCUGUUAAGAAUUUUGACUAUUCUAUAGUAUUAAAUAUCAUAAGGAAAGUUGCAGGAAAAUGAGAUGACGUGCG